rnacentral:rRNA from 1 species
CCAGCAGCUGCGGUAAUUCCAGCUCCAAUAGCAUAUAUUCAUGUUGCUGCAGUUAAAAAGCUCGUCGUUGGAAUUUGGGUGUUGGUGGGGAGAGCGGGAGAGAUCUUGUUUUCUUUAUCUAUACCUUUUGUUCUGAGAGACUAUUUUAAUCUUGACUGAUUGAGUAGUUGUAUCAGAAGGAUUACUUUGAGGAAAGUAGAGUGUUCAAGGCAGGCUAAGCAAGCAUGAAUACGACAGCAUGGAAUAAUAGAGAGCAAGGAAGCAAGAGUCUUUAUUGGUUUUUACUUUUUUGGGAAUGAUUGAUAGGAACGGUUGGGGGCAUUCGUAUUCAGGAGCUAGAGGUGAAAUUC